CAUGUACAAGGCUAAUGUGACCUCAGAGCGCUUUAAAGGGUCAUAUUCUUUCCUUCCACGCCAAAGGAAGAACCGUUGCAGACAAUUUGGCACGAACUAGCUGGCAAUUAGUUGAGCAACAAUUUCAACCAUUGUAAGACUCUAUUGUGAGUGUAUCGAUGGCUGAGUGAGUGAUGCCUCCCAGGUUGCAGCAGGUAAAAUGGAGCAGGUGUAAAACAAGUGACUCCACGAACAGGAGACAGGAGUGGACGGUGUGUGUGAGGAGACAGGACUUAGUUAUGGCUGUCUGUGUGCUGAUUGCUGGGGUAUUUGGGACAUGUGGUUUCAGUAGGCUGCAUUUUUUUUGCCUUCUGUGUAAAGCAGUGUGA
rnacentral:lncRNA from 1 species